rnacentral:rRNA from 1 species
CAGCAGCAGCCGCGGUAAUACGUAGGGUGCAAGCGUUAAUCGGAAUUACUGGGCGUAAAGCGUGCGCAGGCGGUUAUAUAAGACAGAUGUGAAAUCCCCGGGCUCAACCUGGGAACUGCAUUUGUGACUGUAUAGCUAGAGUACGGCAGAGGGGGAUGGAAUUCCGCGUGUAGCAGUGAAAUGCGUAGAUAUGCGGAGGAACACCGAUGGCGAAGGCAAUCCCCUGGGCCUGUACUGACGCUCAUGCACGAAAGCGUGGGGAGCAAACAGGAUUAGAUACCCCAGUAGUCCCUGUCUCUUAUAA